AUCCUAAGGACGGUUACAGGGGUGCGGGGGGACACAAAGAUCCCACCUCGUGGGAGAUAAAUGAGCUUCAUUCAUGCUGCCAAUUCUUUAGGGCCUAUCCCCUCCAUCACCUCAGAAAACCGCUUUGUCUGCGGUGUGAUCCAUUGCUCCCUUGGUCAGAGUUUUCAUUCACGCUAGGUUAACUUUCAUCUCAAUCAUCUCAGCCUUCCUAUCAUUUGCUUAUUGUGUUUCCCUAGUUUUCACUGAACACACAGUGCAAACAAAGGCAAAGACUGAAGCAAUCAUUUUAAAAACAAGAGCUCACACUAAAAACACACAUGAGCAUCAAAUAUUAAAACGUGGGUUUUCUCCUGUCUUUAUUCUGGGGAGGAGGAAUCCUCCUCGUCAUCUUCCUCAUCUUCGUCGUUGAACGAACAGGGGGUCUCGCCUCGUGACUCAGAGCAGUGAGAGGCUGCACUGCUGGACUGGUGACUGUUUGGGGCAAGGAACUGCCCAGUUGCUAAGGCCACUUCAGCAUCCAAGCACAACCCUUGGUUUACACUAGCGAAUAAUUAAAAACACACAAGCUCAUUAAUGUGGCAAAUCUUUCAAGCUUUGUAAAAUGUCGGAAUAAAAACAUGGGAGAGGAGGUGCCACUGGGGAGCUCUGCCAAAAUGUGCUCAAGACCUGGGCCAGCAGUGACACCUGGCUCUCCCCUGCAGGGGGGGUAGGGGUGGGGGUGUGGGCAGGGCUUCACGGCUUCUCUUUCUAAACCCUGAAAAAAUACGUACCUUGAUUGGGACAAGGUGGCACCAGUGGUCAGGUCUAAAUUUGAGACUGAUUGAGUAGAGUUCAAAAGUAGUCCCUGAUUUAACCAAGAAGGUCCUGUGGAGAUAUCUACAGGGAGAAACAGAAACAGAAGAUGUAGGUGCGCUGCAAGCUCUGUGGGUGCUGCUCUUGCAGUUGAAGGAAGCACAGGUGAGGUAAGGCAUGAGCCUGGUCUAAAUUACAGCUAGGUAAGUCUCCUGCCCUGGGGAGAACCCACGUUUCUUUGGCCUGGAAAAAGGAAAUCUCUGGGACGUAAAAACCGGAAAAAAAUUGGGAAGGCGGAUGACAGUGAGGAAAAAUUCAAAUUAAACCACUCACACACAAAAACAAUAAAAUAUAAACCACUCACAGACUCCCAAUCUUUUUUCUUAAUUAGGACCUGGAGAGGGCAGCUGAGAGUACAGUGAUCACUGCACCAUUCCUGGACACCUGCUGUCCUCACCACCAAAGACUCUGGUGUAAAAGGCCAAACCCAGGAGCAGGUAAAAAGAAAGUUAAAUGAGAAAUAGGUGAGAAUGUAACUUGUGAAGUCAAAUUUAAAAGUUCUGGCAUCAUCUAGUGAAGCUGAAGCUGCAUGGACUUCUGACCCAGUAAUCUCAUGCUUUACACUGGCAGUGACCUAGAAUCUCUGUAUGCAAUCAAGAUAAAGAGGGGAAGCAACACUGCCUGAGAAAAGAGUGGAAAAGACAAGGGAAGGAAAGCCCAAGGGCCAUGCCGUAGCUCUAAGGAGACCAGAGGCCGAAGUCUCCCUGGACAGUCUUAGACUAUGCCUGUGGGACUGAUGUGAUUACUGAGCACUCUUUUACUUUCAAAUGGAUCCCAAUUUGGUCAAUAAAUUAUAUGCUGACUCCUUGUGACAGCAGCUAAUAUUUAUAAAGUGCUUGCCUUGGGUCAAAACCUUUAUAGACAUCAUCGUAUUUAAUCCUCACAAGGCUAGUAGGAUGUGAUAGAGGCUUUGGAAUCAUCCUCUUUUGUUCUUCAGAACAUUGCUCUGAAGCAGCUAAAUGGGGGAGCCCCAAUCCACACUUAGGUCUUUCUCACUCCACACCUUAUUCCCUUAAAUAUCUCAGGAUACUGGUCACAGCCUGAAGAUCACUGCUAUUUUCAUGAAGAGUAAAAUAAGUUACAAAUUAACUAGUAGUAUUUUAAAAACUGUGCCAUUGCUCACUUGCUAUGAUAAGUAUCAUCAACUUUAGUUAAAAUGUAAAAAAAUGCUGGUGGGAUUGUAAAUUGGUGUAGCCGCGAUGGAAA